rnacentral:lncRNA from 1 species
CAUCAUCAUCAUCAUCUACAGCUCGUCAUGCUCGUCGUCGACGCCGCCCUCGCCGUCGGCGCCGCCACCCGGGGCGCCACCGGUCCUCUGGUAGACGGCGGAGAUGAUGGGGUUGCAGACGGCCUCGACCUCCUUGAGCUUCUCCUCGUACUCCUCCUUCUCGGCGGUCUGGUUCUCGUCCAGCCACUCGAGGGCCUCCUUGAGGGCCUCCUCCACCUUCUCCUUCUCCUCGCUCUCCAGCUUGUCCGCCAGCUUGUCCUUGUCGCCGACGGUGUUCUUCAUGUUGUACACGUAGGUCUCGAGCUGGUUGCGGGCGUCGAUCCGCUCCUUCAC